GAUGAACGCUGGCGGCGUGCCUAAUACAUGCAAGUCGAGCGAACAGACGAGGAGCUUGCUCCUCUGACGUUAGCGGCGGACGGGUGAGUAACACGUGGAUAACCUACCUAUAAGACUGGGAUAACUUCGGGAAACCGGAGCUAAUACCGGAUAAUAUAUUGAACCGCAUGGUUCAAUAGUGAAAGACGGUUUUGCUGUCACUUAUAGAUGGAUCCGCGCCGCAUUAGCUAGUUGGUAAGGUAACGGCUUACCAAGGCAACGAUGCGUAGCCGACCUGAGAGGGUGAUAGGCGACACUGGAACUGAGACACGGUCCAGACUCCUACGGGAGGCAGCAGUAGGGAAUCUUCCGCAAUGGGCGAAAGCUUGACGGAGCAACGCCGCGUGAGUGAUGAAGGUCUUCGGAUCGUAAAACUCUGUUAUUAGGGAAGAACAAAUGUGUAAGUAACUAUGCACGUCUUGACGGUACCUAAUCAGAAAGCCACGGCUAACUACGUG
rnacentral:rRNA from 1 species